CAAGAAGUCGGUGAAAUUAUAGCCCUAUGUAAGUUGAGAAGAUAUCCAGAGACCCUGUUGCUGGGUGGAGCUGUCUUGUUACUGUACGCAACCCCCAUGUCUGAAAAUAAGUGGAACUAGUCGGUUUCUGAAGCAAAGAAGAUGGCCAGGACUCCUUGCUGAUAGAUGGGAGCCAGAUAGAGUUGGUAGAGCUGAGAAGAUGGCCAGGAUUGCUGCUGGACGGAAGUUGUCUAGUGACAUUGACCGUGUCGGAAAAUGCUGAGAAAGACCAACGUUUUUUAAAAAGAAGAUGGUCAGGGACUCUUUGCUGCUGAAUGGAAGCUGUCUAGAGCUGCUAGAGUGUCACUCUGGUUGCCACCUUCUCCCAUGAGGACACGUUGACUGAGGGAGAUAUUGAGCCCUGCCCUGACUCUCCACACAACCAAGGAG